rnacentral:tRNA from 1 species
GGGGAUGUGGCUCAGCGGUAGAGUGCUUGCCUAGCAUGUAUGAGGCCCUGGGUUCAAUCCUCAGUACCACA